AGAGAGAGAGAGAGAGGAGGUAAAAAUAAUAAUAACAAGAAUAAUAAGUAGUGUUUCUCACCGGUGUUUGUUCGUCCCUGUUUGUUAGUGUCUGUCCGUUUUGUUUGUCUCUUUAUUUUGGCUACCAGUGCCGUGCCCUGUGUUUUGUGUUCCAACCUUUUAUUUUCUGUUCUGUUCUGUUUAAUUAUUAAAUGCUGAGCGCAAUCACGCGCCCAGCCUCACCAAAACCCCAAGUCUCUAUUGUUUAUUUCCUGCUUCUGGUCUGACGCCACCCACUCCGGCCGUCUUUGUGAUACAGUCCCAGUCUGAGACUGAUCAUCGUUAAACAGUUUUGGUUGAUGGCUGGUUUUAUGGUUCAGACUGAAUCAUUGGACCAUCUACAGGUUCAUGUAAUUGUCAAGUCUAGCCUCGUAGCCUAGAAAGGAUGUACUCUGGAUAUUCUAAUGUUCAGGUUGAACAUAUCUGACCAAUCGAAUUCUUUAUAUUGAAACUACCAACAAUGUUGUUGCAGGUAAUGAAACCUGUCUUUCGACACAAAAUGAUGAACAUAGCUGCUUGUUUUUAACAUUGUCUUGUGGUGGCUGUUCCUUAGAACUGGGCAAGCUCUACACAUGCACACCAAAGCACCUUGACUACAAAAGGGAUGUGUU